AUCGCUUCUCGGCCUUUUGGCUAAGAUCAAGUGUAGUAACAAUAUAAGUCUUCUAAUCCAUGAACAUGGUAUUUGUUUUUGUUUAUUUGUAUUUUCU
ensembl:snRNA U2 U2 spliceosomal RNA